rnacentral:rRNA from 1 species
AUUGAACGCUGGCGGCAGGCCUAACACAUGCAAGUCGAGCGGAGCGGCGGACGGGUGAGUAAUUCCUAGGAAUCUGCCUGGUAGAUGGGGAUAACGUCCGGAAACGGGCCCUAAUACCGCAUCCUUCUAGAUGAGCCUAGGUGGGAUUAGCUAGUUGGUGGGGUAAAGGCCUACCAAGGCGACGAUCCGUAACUGGUCUGAGAGGAUGAUCAGUCACACUGGAACUGAGACACGGUCCAGACUCCUACGGGAGGCAGCAGUGGGGAAUAUUGGACAAUGGGCGAAAGCCUGAUCCAGCCAUGCCGCGUGUGUGAAGAAGGUCUUCGGAUUGUAAAGCUCUUUAAGUUGGGAGGCGUUACCAACAGAAUAAGCAACGGCUAACUUCGUGCCAGCCGCCGCGGUAAUAC